GGUUUUGAAAUAAAAAAAAGAAUCCUCUUCAUCUGAGACCGAGACAAGAUCGAGUAAAAAUGUGGUAGAUUCCGAGAAGAGACCUCCAAAAAGUGGUCUUGAGACCAAGACUGAUCUCGAGUACUACAACACUGGUA